rnacentral:lncRNA from 1 species
GUUUGACUUAUCUGAGGCAUCAGUGCUGUGAGGAAGCCCAAGCCACAUGGAAAGGCAACAUGGAGGAGUUCCAGCUCAGAGUGUGAGCUGAGAGUUCCAGACUGGGCUGACAGUCAGCAUGAACUGCCAGGCAUGCCUUUAGAUGAUUUCAGCCCUCAGUCUUUGAGUUGUCCCAGCUGAGAUCCAGAAAUUUUGGAACAGAGAGAAGUCAUCUGUACUACGACAUUUUAAAUCUUGACCCAUAAAAUUAGCGAGCAAAAUAAAAUGGUUAUUUUAUGACACUAAGUUUUGUGGUAGUUUGUUAGGUAGCAACAGCAACCGGAAGAGUAGCUUGGUGAACGUUUCCUCUUGUGCAGAAGACCCAAACCUCUGAAACGCUUCUCCCUCUUCAAGCCACAGUUUUGCUGAGAAAAAGGAUGCUCCUUUGGAAAUCUCCAGCUAAAAUAAAAUAAAUGAACCUUUGUUUGAGCUUCAUAUCUGGUGUUGGAAAAGUGGUUACCUCACCUAUCUGCUGCCUGUGUUCACAUUUCCAAGAAUGAACAUGAUGAAAAUCAAACAGAUGAGCCAGAGGGAAACGCAUCAGGAUUUCCGCCCAUCCUUGAAAAAGUUGCAACAGGAGAGAAGAGAGUUUCCCUUUGAACUGGGAUUUCGUCCUCAAAUAUUCCUCCAAUGUGAUGGACACCUGCAAACACGCAUGACUUUUUGGAAAAUCUUGUUUUAAAAAGUGAAGAUAUUGAAGCCUGGAGACGUGAAAUAAACACGCUGCCUGGGGUGACGCAGUUUAUGGGAAAUGACGAUGUUUCCAUGUUCUCAGGAACUGGGAAGUUUGUCUCACCAAGCAAAUGUUUGUUCUUCUUGGUGAAUAAGGAUCUGCCUAGUGUAUUUAUUACUUGAUUGUGUUUACGUUCCUUUGUGUUUGUCUCUGUCUACAUGGGUGGGAGAUUGCGUUUUUAACUCCCAAAUGGCAGGCCUGGUGCUUGGUGUCAUCUAAUAAUUCCUUCAAAUCCCUACGUCAAUCGGUAAGCCAGGGCAGGCUUGGCUUUCUCUCAUUAUUAGGGAUCUAUUUUGAGAUUCAGGCUUCACAUGAUACACAUGAAACAUGAAGCCAGCCAGAAGCCAUAAUUUUUAAUGGCUGAUUUUUGACAGAUCUUGCCCCAGAUGGUGGCACCAAUUCGCAAUUAUCAAAUGUGGGGGCAAGAGAAGAUGAAGGGAGUUAGUUACAUAGACUAGAAUGGAGGAUAUUCUCACACAUGCCUUUCAUAAGAAGCAUCAGCUGUAAGCAACCACCCCUCUAGAUGAAGGAAAGGGGGUGGCCACCCUGGUAAGCCUCUGAAAACAGUAAUAAAUAUGUAAGCUGUGAGGAAUAAUUAAUAAAACCAAAGAAACUUAAGAAGCUUGUUUUUCUCCUCCUCACUCCGAAUUUCUAUCAAAGCUCUCUCAUGGGUCCUUCAGAGAACUACAACUCUACUAAGUUUAAACUAAGUUUAAAAUAUAUAAGUAUCUGACUCACGAGAGAUUAUAAUGGAUGAGGUCUGACAUGUUGCAGGUUCUUUGUGCAGCUGCUUUUGGCUUGAAAAUGGGAGUCUUUUGUCUGCACCCAUCAGUGCCUUCAUUCCAUAGUGACAAAGUGGUGGUUUCAGAUGAAUGGCUAUGGGGAUGGAGAGGGACCAGAAGUUAGGGUGAAAGGGUGAUGUAUAGAUGGGAUUCACACUAUAACACAGAAGGCAGCAGUGAUGCCACAUAACAGCCCAGGUUUUAGAAUCAGUCAAACUCAGAUCUAAUCCAGGCUCUGUCCUAUGUUCUUUUGAGCAAGCUAUUCACAAGAUCUGAACUUUGACUUCGGCAUCUCUUAAACGAGGUUAAACAAUCACACCUACUACAAUGAAUGGAAGUAUAAUGCAAUCGUUAAAAGCCUCAGAUAUGGGCUCAUAACAGCUUCACAACCUUGGUCAAGUUACUGAACCUCUGCAGGCCUCAGUUUCCUCACUUGUCCAUGCAGUUAGUGGCACCUGAUCCACACAGUGGUUUUGAGAACUAAAGCUCCUGGCACAUAAUAAUUACUCAAUCAAUGUCAGUUAUUAUUCAUGAUCAACAAAUAUAUAUUAAGUGCCUUUUAUUUGUGGGGCACUGCCCAAACCACUGACGAAAGCAACUAAUGUACACGAAGUGCUUUGGUCAUAGAAGGCACGCAAGAAAUAUUUGAUGAAUGAAAGGGAAGGCAAGCCUCUUGGUGUGUCCCUAAGAUUUGGUUAGGCUUUGACUAUCCAAUCCAGCAUUCUUUAUGUGUUACUGGACAACUGGCUGGAUGGCUUUUUUUUAGCUGGUGUUGCUAAUUCCCAGUGAGUGGAGUCCAAAGUAUCCCCUUACCCAACAAUCAGUAGGAGGAGAGAAGGGAUUCAUUAUCCUCUUCUUUCUCUGAGGUCUCUUCUAUUGUCCUGAGAGGUGAUAGGGAACAGGACAGCCAAAGGAAAAGACACACGAAGUGGUCACAUGUAUCUUUUAUAAAAACGUACCUGAAAUGGAAAAUAAACUACAUAUUUUUUUCAGGUCUGAAGAUCAAAAGCAGGUGUCCUUAACCUAGAACGCUUGAAUGGGAUCAGUGAGUGUGAGAAUCUUCUAUAAUUGCAGCCGUAUUUGAUGUGUUCAUACAUUUUUCUGGGGAGAGAGGCCAUAGUUUUCAAAAGGUUUUAGAGUUUUAGGUUUUACUAUCUAGUAAAAGAUUAACAUUUAGCGGACAAUGAGUGUCGAAGACUGAAAUAAGAAAACUAAAGUGAUUUUGAGGUCAAAGCUUGGAUUUACGUAGUGUAAAUGUAAAUAAGAAGAAAUACCUGAGUCAGAAACAGGUGUGCAAGCUCAUCAGAUUCCAAAAGGGAUGAAAAAUCCACCUCACGGAAAGCAUUCACUGCAUAAUUGCUGUCAAGAUGCACUAAAGCCUGCCAGAUCCACGUACCUCGAUUAAUUAAGGCCUUGGAAGGUUUUUUGAGAGAUCAUAAUUACACAUUAUGAAAACACAUUCUCAACUACAGUUUCAACCCAUUGAUACUUUUAAUAGG